ACUUGAACUCUGUGACCAAUAAGGAAAAGGAAUGGACAGAAGACACCUCCCCCCUGUGCGCCUGCCCUGCCUUCCCGAAGUCGGCAGUUCUCAGAAAGCAGGGGGGCUAAUAAAAAAUGAAGAGGAAACGUGGUGCAGGGGCAACUGCCAGUAUUCACCCAUAGCCAAUUGGAAGCUGUAGUAACAAUAUCAUGAAGGCCAAAGGUUACCAGUCUCUACUCUUUCUACCGGAAAUCCUAAUGUAAUUACAGUAUCUGCAACGUGGCCACCACUGUCUGGCAGUUGGGAAGAUGAGAUUCCUCCCAGCACUGACACAUCUUUCACCCCACACCAAGCUGUGCAAUGAUAUUUGUUUUCCAGGCAACUGUAUUUUCUUCUGCAACUUUCCCUAAAUGACUUUCCAACGCUAUGACGUGAAGACACGAGACACCAGGCCUCGGAGAGGAGUAACGGAGUAUUCCAACCAGAGUGAGAUCAUCCCUGCACUGAUAAUAUAUUUACCAUGAGCAUUCCGGAAUCUAAUGGGCUUAUUUGUACUUUUCCUCAGCUCAUCCUUUCAUAGGAUUCUCUUAUUAUUCUCACCCUAUUCUGGGCCUAUUAUGCGCCUGCCACUCUAACCGUCUAAAUGGCCUUGUGGCAGCAUGAAGUCAUUUUUACAAUGAAUGCAGAAACAGGGAUUUAACAUAUAACUGAAUCAUUGUUGCAGAAUAAAGACCUGCCUUAGCGUGUGCAAAAAUGAACUCAAGUCGUUCUUCAGAAAAGGCAAACAGAAUCCUCUACAAUGAUCAUGGAUGGCCAACCCAUGACCGUACUGUUGUUGUUAAACUACAACUCAGCAACAUAUAAAGGGUCACUGAUUCCCUUAUUGAGACGAUUGUGGUGUUCUUAAAAUCAAAAAUCAGUCAAAACAGUAAAAAAUAUAAAAAUCAAUGAGUAUUGCCAUUCUACCUUGUGACUGGAUUAAUAUAGUUUUAUUCUUCUCUAGAAUUCCAGCAGAAUAUUUGGUGCCCACUUAUUUGUGCCCCUCACAACAACAUCCGCUUAUCAACAUUUCCUGAACCAUGGACACAUAACCACACCCAUAAUCCACCAAAUCAAGUCCAAUUUCACAAAAUCCCCUUCCACUGGCACAAGCCUGGCCCUUUGUAGCCCAAAAAUUGCACUUUUAUUUCUCCUGGGGUCCCCUCUUCCACAUGGUCCCUGACUGUGUAUCUCCUAUACCCCUCUAAUGACAGCCCCACUUCUGGCACAGCAACAUGCACUGUGUCAAUAACGUUAUUACCACUGGAGCCACAAGUCAACUGUGCCCAUGGAUUUGUUGUCAGCAAGGGUUAGAAGCCUGGUUGAUUCCUACCAGAACACGUAGCAGUUUAUAAAUCCAAAAAGAACCUUCUGAUAAGUGCUUGAACAAGUGAUUUCUUGCAAAAGUCAUUUAGGAUAAUAAAUGGUGAUUUUUGGCAUUUUAGCCCCUAUGUUUGGGCUCCUAAAAUACACAUUAGGCAACACACCAAUUCAUGCAACUCAUUGCAGCUGGUCUGUCCCUUCCCAUUGUUCAUAUGGAACUCAUUUGUACUUAUUUAAAUGUAAAUGUGUUCCUUUCUUUGUGCAAUGUCCAUUAAUAUGUUACACCACCAAAUGUCACAGAGAUUAAAUAAGAGAGCUGAUUCUGCAGGAAUGGGUUGUGAUUU